rnacentral:rRNA from 1 species
CCUACGGGUGGCUGCAGUGAGGCAUAUUGGUCAAUGGUCGGGAGACUGAACCAGCCAAGCCGCGUGAGGGAUGAAGGUACAGAGUAUCGUAAACCUCUUUUGUCAGGGAACAAAGGCGGGGACGUGUCCCCGGCUGAGUGUACCUUAAGAACAAGCAUCGGCUAACUCCGUGCCAGCAGCCGCGGUAAUACGGAGGAUGCGAGCGUUAUCCGGUUUUAUUGGGUUUAAAGGGUGCGCAGUCGGUCUGUUAAGUCAGCGUUAAAAGCCCGUGGCUCAACCCCGGCCCGCCGUUGAAACUGGCAGUCUCGAGUUGGAGAGAAGUAGGCGGAAUGCGCGGUGUAGCGGUGAAAUGCAUAGAUAUCGCGCAGAACUCCGAUUGCGAAGGCAGCAUGCCGGCUCCAAACUGACGCUGAGGCACGAAAGCGUGGGUAUCGAACAGGAUUAGAUACCCGAGUAGUC